UUCUGUUGGAAAAUCAAUGAGCAAAAAGUUCAAUUUUGCUAUUUCAUGCAGUUCUCUAGUUGGAUAGAUUGAUGGUUCAAUUUGUCCACGCCCGUGCACCCCGAGCUAAUGCCAUCUUCAGCAAACUCUUCCACCAAGCAUGUAAGGUGUUUCCAUGGAUGGUAUCUUUCCUACUCUCUUGUUCAAUUAUUGUUCUAGUUAGCUCCUUUCCACAACAUGUGUUUGUGAUUAUGGCAGCAAGAAAGGAUGUGUGGUAGCACGCCCCACAGAAUCUUGGUUAAUCCUGCUAUUGCAAACUUUGCUGCUUUGGUCGAUAUUUGCUAGCUUGAAGUAAUAUAUGUUUUAGUGGAAGUUGUAUUUUUGUAUGUUGUAUGGCUUGCUGACCUGUCCAGCUCUUAUGUGAGAACUGAUACUUGAGACUUAGUGAACCAUACAAAUAUUCAACAUGGAUAAAAAGUUUAGGUAGUGGAUAGUGUGGUGUUAGUAAGGAGCAGGAGAAGAACACUUGGGCAUCGUUGUGGUUAGCAUGAUUCUGUUAAAAUCUAUUGUGUGAUUGUGUCUUAAGAUCAUGCAUACAUUUUUUGUUAAAGCUAUUUUGUCCUUCAUUGUGGUUGGCUUUGAUUUUAAUUUCUUAUUCUGUGGCUAUGCUUAUUUGUUAAAUGUGGUAGCUUGCUGUAAGAGCCCUAGCAUGUACCUCUAUCUCUAAUUUACUUUUUGUCCCCUCCUGCUGCUUGUCAUCAUCGAUCUUAAUAACUAAGAGGGGCCGAAAUAAAACAUGAACCUGGUCGUCCUCUUCCUGCUAAUGGAUCCUUAAUGUUGCUACAAUUCUGAACUUAUUUGUUCAAUCGUACUAGUACUGAUGAAUACCGAGUUGAUUGAAAAAGAUAUGUGUCGAAAAGUUCACUUCAUCUGCAUACAUAAGUUCAAAAAAUUGUCGUAGAGCUAGUUCAAAAGAUUGUCAAAAGGUAGAAUGGUUGUGCUAUUUCAAUUUUUUCAGUCCAUCUUCUGUGUGCUAUUCAGUACAUCUAAUUCCAAAUUCUAAGUACAAUUGCCUUUAUGUUUUCCAUCUUCAUAUAGCACAAAACAGGCACUGGAGGAUAAGGUGAGAAUAUAUACUAAUGAAAUGUUUGGUGGCGUUGUCCACAUUUUGAAUUUAAACCACUAGCUUUUUUAUACACGAGGGCUUGUCCUGGGAGAGCCCUAUAUAGCCAUGUGCAAUACUGCUACAAACUUUAAUCCCCCAUUGUCCGGCCUGCGGAGCAUUAGGAAAAGUUCAAAUUUUGUAAUUCAUUCAGUUCUUCUGGUUAGUAGACUAGUGGUUCAUCUUGAUAAAUCUGGCGGUUUAAAGUUUCUCUAUGUUUUGUUACAGCAGUUGUGUAUUUUUAGAAGAAAAACAACAACGGCGGCUGCACUGGAGCAGCAGGACUACUAUUGCUGAUAGAUUAGUGGAUGAGUGCUAUCUAGAUUCUUCUAAUAUGAAGAUAGUGGCACCACUAAGAAAAAGAGAAAUAAUCGGUUUUUCUGUAGCCACGGAAUGGGCAUUUGGCUCAGUCAUCUUCCAUUGCUGGAGACCGCCCCCAUCUCCGACCGGAUCCAGGUCCGCUCCCCUGAUAGCCACCAUGGCUUGUGUCGUUGGUGCUAGUGUGGAUGUGCGACAUGUUCAUGUCCCCAGUCUAUGCCAAGUUCAGAAUGCACGUCGGUCUCGUUGUGGAUGCUUCUGUAGUUCGGCAGUCCAACUAAUUGCUCUACCACCGGUUGCUCAAAGCGCCGUGUGAAGUCCAACCCGUGCUCCGCCCCUGGAUCCGGCUCAGCGCCAGUUCCUUGGCGGUUGCUACCCGUCCGCUGCUCCUUCCGCUGUCUACGCACAACUCCUAGUGCGUAGCAACUGUGUUCUGUAAUUUCAGAAUUUAAUAGGACGUGCUCUUUGACCUACAUUGCUUCGGAAAGGACAAUCCCUAGGUAAAUCUUCUUCAUGAUUUCAGGGCUAUGAAGUGAAUUAUUUGUUGUUACGAUCUAUUUAGCACAUAUAGUUACAAAACAUAGUUCAAAUAAAUUUCCCCCAAAAGUUCAGUAUUUAGGGUUCUGCGCCUGUCCUUACAUUAGCUAGUCUUCAUCAUGUCCAGAUAAUGCCUAAAGUGAAGACAUUAUUUUAUUUCAAUUCAACUUUUGAAUGUCUUUCAGUUCAUCUACUUCUCGGUCGUCCUGAGUUGCAGCAUUGCUGCUACUGUCAAUGUGUUUGCAAGUUGCAACCAUUAUUGAUGCAUUUGUAUUUCAGAUCACUGAGGGUUUCAUGAGGAUGUGCUAAAAAUUUGUUAUUGUCGGUUGCUCUUUGUUGCAUUUGGUACCGUCAAUUAAAAUUUGUUACGUCAAUGGUGAUAAUGUACGUCAGUGCAUGUGUGCUAGUACUAGUGUACUUGCGAAGUGACCCUCCUCCUAGUACAGCCAAUUCAAUUUCUUGCAUUUCCAUCUGGAGUACAAAAAUGAUCAGUACGAAUUAAAACAAUGAUCAGUUUGAAAAUAAAAGAAAUGAUUACUUCGAAUUAAAAAUUGGUUUGAAUUAAAAACAAUGAUCAGUUCAAAUUUAAAAAAGAUGAUCGGUUCGAAUGCGUAGCUACUGAAAGGUACAUUCUUUCAUUAGUAUAAAUGCAAUUUGUUAAUAAAAAUAAACAGUGAUUCAGUAUGUAUUAUAUGAGCAAUUCAUACAAAAAAGAAGAAGCAAAAAGUAGUGAUUCAAUAUGUAUUAUAUGUCCAAAUUUUGUUUUAUUCAGCACAAGGCUUCCAAGCAUUGAUCAGAUGUGUUUCAGUUCGUCUACUUCCCAGUCGUCCUGUGUUAGCUAGAUCAGUACUAGUGAUCAGCAGUACGACAAGUAGCAGUACUGAUCAGUACGACCUACACAGAUACUAUUACUGAUCAGUAAUAUUCUUAAUGUUAAAAGUAACAUCCAUAUAGAAAAAAUGCUUCUAUUCUAACACACAAUGUUUUGCAAAAAAGAGCACUAGUACUGAUGAGUCGUACCUACAAGGAUGCCGUCUACAAUUCUGAAAUUAUUGUUGAGUCAUACUAGUACUAUUACUGUUGAAAAUGGGAAGCAAGUGUCACAUGAAUCCUCAAUUGAAUGGGAAGCAAGUUGAUCCUCGCUCCUUCAACUCCACUUCGCCAGUGCCCGUCAGUCUGCAGGAGUAGGGGCGGCAUGUCCGUCAACAAACAAGAACAGAAGGGAGCAAUUGGCGCCGAAUGGGCCCCUGGGAGCUAGUCCAACCCGCUCGCAGACUGGAGGGCAUGCCGGUUUAUUUCCAAUGAAGCCCUAUGUACAAUCAGUCUGUUCGUUUGAUAAGAAAGGAGACAACAUAGAAGUUAUGGUUGAAGCAAGUCCCUCCGUCCAGUUAUGUCCGAUUUUUGUGAUAGUAGUUCAAAAUGAGGGAUAUAUUGUAUAAACUUUUUUGGACUUGUGCCCAGGCUGCUUCUAAACAACUCCAAUGCUUUAUUGGCCUCAGUACUACAGUUUGGUAACUUUUAACUGAGAACUCUAUGAACUCUUGGACAUGUUCAUAAAGUAUUUCUGGACUAAGAACUCGAUGAACUCCUAGACAUGUUCAUAAAGUAUUGUUGGAGAGCUCUCAGUAGUUCUAGUAUUAUAGUGUGUGUUUUGAACUAAGAGAUAUACUCUAUGAACUUUCUCUACUCUUGAAGCAUUUUGUUCUCAUAUAUAAA